CCCGUACCCCAAACCGACACAGGUGGGCAGGUAGAGAAUACCAAGGCGAUCGGGAGAACUGUGGUUAAGGAACUCGGCAAAAUGCCUCCGUAACUUCGGGAGAAGGAGGACCCCAUCAGGGUGAAGGACCUCGCGUCCGGAGCUCGAAGGGGUGGCACAGACCAGGGGAAAGCGACUGUUUACUAAAAACACAGCAGCGUGCGAAGUCGUAAGACGAUGUAUACGCUGUGACGCCUGCCCAAUGCCGGAAGGUUAAAGGGAAAGGUUAGCCCGCAAGGGCGAAGCUUUGAACUGAAGCCCCGGUGAAUGGCGGCCGUAACUAUAACGGUCCUAAGGUAGCGAAAUUCCUUGUCGGGUAAGUUCCGACCUGCACGAAUGGCGUAACGACUUUCCUACUGUCUCAACCACAGACCCGGCGAAAUUGAAGUACGAGUAAAGAUGCUCGUUAGCUGCAGAAGGACGGUAAGACCCCGUGGACCUUUACUAUAGCUUGAUGUUGAGUUUUGUUAUGUGUUGUGUAGGAUAGGUGGGAGACUUGGAAGCAUUGGCGCCAGCCAGUGUGGAGUCAACCUUGAAAUACCACCCUGCUCAUGACGGAGCUCUAACCCACGUCCCUGAUCGGGAUGGGGAACAGCGUCUGGUGGGUAGUUUGACUGGGGCGGUCGCCUCCUAAAGAGUAACGGAGGCGCCCAAAGGUUCCCUCAGGCUGGUUGGCAAUCAGCCGUCGAGUGCAAUGGCACAAGGGAGCUUGACUGCGAGACCUACAAGUCAAGCAGGUGCGAAAGCAGGGCAUAGUGAUCCGGCGGUUGCGUGUGGAAGCGCCGUCGCUCAACGGAUAAAAGGUACCCCGGGGAUAACAGGCUCAUCUUCCCCAAGAGUCCAUAUCGACGGGAAGGUUUGGCACCUCGAUGUCGGCUCAUCGCAUCCUGGGGCUGAAGCAGGUCCCAAGGGUUGGGCUGUUCGCCCAUUAAAGCGGUACGCGAGCUGGGUUUAGAACGUCGUGAGACAGUUCGGUCCCUAUCCUCUGCAGCCGGAAGGAACUUGAGAAAAUCUGUCCCUAGUACGAGAGGACCGGGAUGGACGCAGCUCUCGUGUGCCAGUUGUCCUGCCAAGGGCACUGCUGGUUAGCGACCUGCGGAAGGGAAAGCGCUGAAAGCAUCUAAGUGCGAAGCCCAUUUCUAGAUGGGGUUCCUCACUGGGUUAACCAGGUAAGGCCCGUGAUAGACCAACACGUUGAUAGGCCGGAAGUGUAAGCGUGGUAACACGUUCAGCUGACCGGUACUAAUCGGCCGAGGGCUUGGACU
rnacentral:rRNA from 1 species